rnacentral:lncRNA from 1 species
GAUUCUGUGAGGUAUGCAGAACAGAAGGGCAGUGAGUAUUCAUUCCAAGUGGAGGAAAUGACAGGCAGAGAAACAAAGAUUUUCAUGGGAUAUCCCAGUGAGGAAAAAGCAGGGAGAACUUCAGGAGCACAGGGGUUAGUUGCUUCUAAGCCAGCUAUCUCGAUGAGAGUUUGAAGAUCUACAUUGAAAUCUUUUACCUAAGAAACUUAGUCCUUACCCAUAAACCCAGGAGAAGAGGGGGAGCACGCAUCGGAGCUAGUAAAUAUAGAAAAAGUCAAACAUUCCUCAUCAGGGCCUCUGAAGAAACCAAAGAAACCAAAAAAACACCAAGGGAGAAAAUGUCCACUGAAACACGUGCCUGCCUGGGUGUGAGGAUAUCCUAUGACAGUCACUGUCGCUCAGGCAGCUGCCAGGCUGUUGCAGGACCCAGGUGGAAGAGAGAGGGAGGAGCUACGCCUUUGACUGAAUUUGGAACCUUUCAUUAUUACAAUUUCUGAAUUGAG